UACGUAGGGUGCGAGCGUUAUUCGGAAUUACUGGGCGUAAAGCGUGCGCAGGCGGUGAUGUAAGACCGAUGUGAAAUCCCCGGGCUUAACCUGGGAACUGCAUUGGUGACUGCAUUGCUGGAGUAUGGCAGAGGGGGGUGGAAUUCCACGUGUAGCAGUGAAAUGCGUAGAGAUGUGGAGGAACACCGAUGGCGAAGGCAGCCCCCUGGGCCAAUACUGACGCUCAUGCACGAAAGCGUGGGGAGCAAACAGG
rnacentral:rRNA from 1 species